rnacentral:rRNA from 1 species
UACGGAGGGGGCGAGCGUUUAUUCGGAAUUAUUGGGCGUAAAGAGCUCGUAGGCGGCCUGUUGCGUCGGUUGUGAAAGCCCGGGGCUUAACCCCGGGUCUGCAGUCGAUACGGGCAGGCUAGAGUUCGGUAGGGGAGAUCGGAAUUCCUGGUGUAGCGGUGAAAUGCGCAGAUAUCAGGAGGAACACCGGUGGCGAAGGCGGAUCUCUGGGCCGAUACUGACGCUGAGGAGCGAAAGCGUGGGGAGCGAACAGG